GAAUAUUGGACAAUGGGGGCAACCCUGAUCCAGCGACGCCGCGUGUGUGAAGAAGGCCUGCGGGUUGUAAAGCACUUUUAGUGGGGACAAAAAGCUACAGGCCAAUACCCUGUGGUCUUGAUUUAACCCAAAGAAAAAGCACCGGCUAACUCUGUGCCAGCAGCCGCGGUAAUACAGAGGGUGCAAGCGUUAAUCGGAAUUACUGGGCGUAAAGCGUGCGUAGUCGGUUAUUCAAGUCGGGUGUGAAAGCCCCGGGCUCAACCUGGGAAUUGCAUUCGAUACUGUGUAGCUAGAGUUCGGCAGAGGGAAGUGGAAUUUCCGGUGUAGCGGUGAAAUGCGUAGAUAUCGGAAGGAACAUCAGUGGCGAAAGCGACUUCCUGGACCAGAACUGACGAUCAGGCACGAAAGCGUGGGGAGCAAACAGG
rnacentral:rRNA from 1 species